rnacentral:rRNA from 1 species
UACGGGGGGGGCAAGCGUUGUUCGGAAUUACUGGGCGUAAAGAGCGUGUAGGCGGCUAGAUAGGUCCGUUGUGAAAACUCGAGGCUCAACCUCGAGACGUCGAUGGAAACCAUCUGGCUAGAGUCCGGAAGAGGAGAGUGGAAUUCCUGGUGUAGCGGUGAAAUGCGCAGAUAUCAGGAAGAACACCCGUGGCGAAGGCGGCUCUCUGGUACGUGACUGACGCUGAGACGCGAAAGCGUGGGGAGCAAACAGG